rnacentral:sRNA from 1 species
GUGUGAGUGUGAGUGUGUGUAAGUGUGUGUAUGUGUGUGUGUGCGUGUAUGUGUUCUCUCUUCUAGACGGUACCUGUGCUCUUCAGCCCAUUCCCUUAACCUCCCAAGAUAUCAGCUGUGGGAGCCCUCACUGAGGCUGAGAGAGCACCAAGUGCUCCAAAUCUGAGAGUCCUAAGGAGAAAGGGACUACCUAACCAGGGCAGGACUCCAAACCACUGACGCUAAGUGGCCCAGCACAGCAGAGUGCAGCAGGACUUCAGAGAAGGGCUGAAUGGACUUGGAACCACGAGGUCCUGGACUCCACUCCAGACAAUCACACCUGCACGCCUCCAGUGAGACCCUGGGUUCAGGAUCCAACCCAGAGCCUGUAAUGCCGUGCAGUCUGGGUCUAGUCAGAUCCCAUCUCUGAGUGUAAGUUCCUACUGGUCACACUGGAAGAGUCACACAGUCACACAGGGCAGUUCACUGAGAAUGAAUAAGGCCUGGGAGUGAUGGGGGCGGGGCCUGUGGGGCGCAAGAUGUGUACAGUCCUGACUUGCAGGCAGUAUCUUCCCAUUGUGACACAGACACAGUGAAUUCUAGUGAAUUCAUCACAGUGUCUGGCUCUGCAGAGAGGCAGAGGCCGUGGUCCAAGCUGUGGUCAUGUCUGGGAAGGAGCAGGAAGCAUCCAGCUUAUGAGAUGGGAGAAUCUAGGUAUACAUCACAGGAUGCACAGGAGGCUAUAGGACAGGAACUGUCUCCUCGGAACACUUUUGGAACAUUCCCAGGCCAGCGGCUCUCAGAGGCUAAUCCCAGGAGUGCCUGAAUCCCUUCAGUUUGCUGUUCCUGCAGUUUGCCUGCUGAAGUGGGUGCUUCGUCCAAAGUUGUUUCUUGUGGCUCCAAAAAGCCUUCCGCUGAGAUUCUCUGAACCCUGGGAGUUUGUGCUCAUAGUAACACAACCAUAACUCACAAUCCUAAGAGGCACAAAGCUCUGGCAAACACCUGCCAAUACCUCUACAAGGCUGGCUUCAGAGGGCGAACUCUUCCAGGCCCCGAGGAGUGCCCAGCCAAGCUUUGGGGAAAGACCCAGGAAUGGUUGCAGUAGUCCGUUAUCGUCUUGGCGGCAGACAUGUCUACAGAACAGUCGCUGAGAGCCACAUCCAGAUCCACAGGCCAAGAGAAAGAGUGACUGGGCCAAUGAGGGCCUUUCAAAAUCUCACAGCCCACCCCUGGUAAUGAUACACUUCCUCCCACAAGGCCACGCCCACUCCAAGGCCACACCUCCUAAUCCUUUCAAACCAUUCCACUCCCCGAUGACUAAGCAUUCAAAUAUAUGAGCAUGUGGAGGCCAGCCAUCCUCACUCAAACCACCA